UCAGGAAAAGAGAAAAGUAUCAUGAGAACACAGGAGAGACAUCUAACACAUCAGGCACCCUGGAGGAGGUGGGGUCUAAUCUGUGACCAGGUAGUUAUGUGGAAAGGAGUUGGAGGAAGAACAGCGGGAAGGGAAGGAAGCAUACAGCGCACAGGGAGAAUUAUGAUUGUUUCCAUACUGCCAAGCAAAAAACCAUAACACAGACUUUGAAGAGAAAUAACAAUCGAGAAGUCAAGUAGAACCAGAUCUUAGGAGCCUUGUUUACAGCAGUUGAUGGAAAGAAUUUUAGAAUUCUAAGCAAAAUAAGCUGUCCAAUUUGGUUUUCUUUAUCUCAGAGGUAUAUCAAUUAGUAAUUAGUUUGUUCUGCUUACCAAAAAAAAAAAAAAAUUCCAAAACCUAGAAGUUUGAAAGAGUGAUGAUUCAAUUUGUAAAAAUGAGAAUGAUUCUUCUGGUCAGGUCAGCUCAAUUGAUUCUACCUGAUUUCUUAAGGAUCUGAAGGCAGCUGAGGAGUUGGAUAGCAGCAGGAGUGCUAGCUCCCAGACCCCUUGAGUUCUGAACUCACAAUGUAGAAUAUUCCAUCAUCACCAUAUUCCAUUAGUCAGAGCUAGUCACAAGGCCAGCUUAGAUUCAAGGGAAGUGCAGUGCAGAGAAAUGGGCUCAUUCUUAAUGGGAGAAACUACAAGAUUUUAUUACAGAGAAAUAAAACCAAAGAUUUACAAAGGAAUUUAAAAAAAAAAGACUCCUUUUCCUUCCCACACUGUUAUGCCAGAUAGAAGAUGCCUGCACCGUGAUUUUUUAAAAGUUGAUCUUCUCAUGCCACAACUGCAGGAGAGGGCACAGUUUUUGUACUCAGUAGAAUAAGGCAGGAUGAGCAAGGGAAGGUGAUGUUUUGGUGUGAAAGCAACCAUCUCAGGUUCUCCACGGAAUGGGAAUUGUGACCCCUGCCUCUGUACUAAAGGACAGCAGGGACUUUGAGAAUGGGCUGUCUAAGGCUUGCAGCUUGACCACUUAUAUGUCUUCUUAUCCAGAACACUUAACUGCCCACCUCUGAUGAAACAGCAGCCCUACACAAUGAGCAUCUCAGGAAAGACAGUCACGUAAUUUACACCAGAGAAUCUUUACCCCAGUCGCCAUAUCGGGAAAGCUCCUUGGAUGUUGUAAAGCUACUAGGGCAAGGGAGAUAACCUCUAAAACAUAACCAAGUUUGAACACCCUACGAACUCCAACUAAACAACUAAACAACUCAUAGGAUCUUAAUUCUUUCACCGAAAGUUAAAGCCUAUGAAUAUUUAAGUGAAUCAAUUUCUCAUUUUAAUAAUUAUUUCAUAGUGAUUCACUAAUUUCUUCUGAUGGUUAUGAUGACCAGGCAAUGUAAAAUAUGAGAAAUCUAAUUUUUGGGUCCUCAGGCACAAAUACUGCUUCACUCCAUAUUUUCACUAAUGCAAUGAGAGAUUGGCAUUGGAUUACAAAGCCUCUCCUGGUUGAGGUCAGUGCCCUGGGCCAUGGAUACUUGGCUUCAGGAAGGAAAACCACAAAUCUGAAGGCUCCUUGGUGAGUUACAGGAAUGAAAUUGCCUGUGCCUGCCCUCAGGAUGGGGGCGUCUUACCAAGGACACUGUUGAGUCAUCUCAUCUCCUGCUCCUCUUCUUCCCAUUCUGGAAACCCGCAGAGUGUGGGUUUGGGCCAAGCAACUUAUCUACCUGUUUUUUGGAAGAGCCUGGGAUACAAAGAGUAAACUUUUCUGCUAGAUCUCUGUUACACUACUGUGCUCUGCCAUUUUACUGCUCUCAGAAGUUCCCUCUUAUCCAUGGGGACACACUUCAAAACCACCAGAGGAUACUUGAAAAUGAGGAUCAUAUCAAACCUUCCACAUACUGUUUUUUCUAUUUAUCAAUUAGGCAAUAAGAGAAUAAAAGCAAGAAUAAUAGUAAACAGAACAAGUAUCAUAAUAUACUAUUAUGAAAGUUGUGUAAAUUCUCCCUAUAUCUAUUUAUCUAUUUCUCAUUACAAGGCAGGUAACUAAGGCAGUACAAAAAUGCUGGACAAAGGGAUAAUUCAUGUCCCAAGAUGGAAGAGCAGAUCACACUAUAUUUUGUGAUGCUACUCUAACCUCAAUUUAAAAGUUAUGGUUUAUUUCUAGAACCUUCCAUUAAUAUUUUCAGACCAUGGUAAACUGAUAACUAAAAAUACAGACAAAGUGACAACAAAUAAGAAGAAACAAUUGCACAUGCACCCCAAACCUACACCAAGAAGCUAGUUUAGGGAUGGCUUCAGAUAAGACUUUUCUUAGCAUUCAAUGAUUUCGAUCCAACUCAGUCAGCCUACAAUUUCUAAUGAAUGCCUUCACUUCUAAAUAUGUUUUAAUUCAUUCAUCUCAUUGUCAAUUUUUGCCCAAGAUCAUGAUCAGUAAUGACAUGCCUAAUAUAGGGUAAGAAUAACAAAAAUUUCAGGGACAGUUUAAAAUGUUUAAAGAUUGAGAAACACAGAAAAGAGUCCAAAGAAGUCAGAAUUUUUCACGGUGUGAUCCCUUGAGUUUGUGUAUAAAAUCAUCCAGGCAAUUUUUUUUCCCAAAAGAAAUUCCUGGGCCCAACUGCUGUAAUCUGAAUGUUUGUUUCCUCUCAAAACUCGCAUGUUGAAACAUAAUCACCAAUUGUUGCUAUUAGGAAGUCUGGCCUUUUGAAGGGGAUUAGAUCAGGAGGGAAAACCCCUGGGAUCGGGAUUAGUGUCCUCAUACAAGUGACCUAAGGGAGUUUGUGUGUCCCUUCCACCAUGUGAAGUCACAGAAAGAAGAUCUCAGCUCUGCACCAGGAAACGGGUUUUCUCCAUACAUCACAUAUGCCAGGGCCUUCAUCUUGGACUUCCCACCUCCUGGACUAUAAGAAAUAAAUUUCUGUUGUUUUUGUCUGCCCAGUCGAAGAUGUAUUACAGAAGCCUAGAGGGACUGUGAUGUUGGAUAUGUUUAAUCUCCAAAGGAUAAAGCUGAGAUUCAGCAUGUCUGAUUCCAACAGAUUAAAGUUGACAAUCACUGAAGUAAAGGAUGAUUAAGAAUCAAAAUAUGGCUCUGAAGAACAUUUUGAUAAAAUAUCUCUAUCUCAAGAAAUAACAUUCAGCAUGCAUAAUGGUUUGCUGUAUGUAUGUCAUCAUUAUAAUAUGGGUACCAUAAGGAUGACCAUGAAGAACACUGUCAGUCUUCCUCAUUGUGGGGAAAUCUGGAGGUAUCCAAAAACAAGAAGCUUUGUAAGCCUCUCCUGAGGGACAUUGUGCCCUAUCCCCAUUACACAGAAUAUUGUAAACAGGGAGAAGAGGAUAUGAGGAAGCAGCUGCCUCUUUCUUGUUGUCUCCGGUGGAUGGGGGUUAAGAGGGUGUGGUACUUCUCUCUUCCUCCAAAGACUUGACCCAAGAGACUCGAAGCAUCAUCAACUUCUCUCUUCCCAACACCAUAAUAUCUAAGUUAGAGUCUCCUAAAGAGCCCAAACCAUGGCAGAAGCUCUUCAUUGGAGGGCUGAGCUUUGACACAAUUGAUGAGAGUCUGAGGAGCCAUUUUGAGCAAUGGGAAGUGCUCAUGGACUUUGCAGUAAUGAAAGACCCGAACUCCAAGUGACCCAAAGGCUUCAGAUUUGUCACCUAUGCCACCAUGGAGAAGGUAGAUGCAUCUAUGAAUGCAAGAAUCCAUAAGGUAGAUGGAAGAUUUGUGGAGCAAAAAAAAGGGCUGUCUUACGAAAAGAUCCUCCAAGACGAGGUGCACAUCAAACUGUGAAAAAGAUCUUUGUUGGUGACAUUGAAGAAGAUAUGGAAGCCCACCAGAGAUUAUUUUGAACAGUGUGGGAAAAUCGAAGUGAUUGAGGUAAUGACUGAGUGUGGCAGUGGAAGGAGAGGGGUUUUGCUUUUGUGACCAUUAACAACCAUGACUCUGUGGAUAAGAUUGUCAUUCAGAAAUACCAUACUGUGAAUGGUCACAACUGUGAAGCAAGGAAGGCCCUGUCAAAGUAGGAGAUGACCAGUGCUUCACCCACCUCAAGAGGUCGAAGUGGUUCUGGAAACUUUGGUGGUAGUCAUGGAUAUGGUGUUGGUGGCAAUGACAACUUCAGUCAUGGAGGAAAAGUCAGUAGUUGUGGUGGCUUUGGUGGCCCCUGAGGUGGUGCUGGUUAUGAUGGCAAUGGGAAUGGUUACAAUGGAUUUGGUAAUGAUGGAAGCAACUUUGGAAGCCGUGGAAGCUACAAUGAUUUUGACAAUUACACAAUCAAUCUUCAAUUUUUGGACCCAUGAAGGAAGAAAAUUUUGGAGGUAGAAACUCUGGCUCCUAUGGUUGAAGAGGACAAUAUUUUGUCAAAAUGUGAAAUCAAGAUGCUAUGGCAGUUCUACCAGCAGCAGUACCUAUGAUAGGGGCAAAAGGUUUUAAUAAUUGUCAGGAAACAAAACUUAACAGCAGAGGAGAGCCAGAGGAGUGAAAGGGAAGAUACUUGUUACAACAGAUUUAUGAACUUGGCCAAGUACAGUGGUGGCAGGGUGUAGCUACUACAAAGAAGACACAUUUUAGACAAUACUCAUGGAUAUGGGAAAAAACUUCAAGGACUGUAUUUGUGACUAAUUGUAUAACAGUUUGUUUUAGUUUUCAUCUAUGGAAAGUAUAAAGCAUCCUGACAAGGGGUUGUAAUGUUUUUUCUUUCUUUUUUCUUUUUUUGUAUGCUGUUUGCUAAAUGUUAUAGUCUGAUCAUGAUGCUGAAUAAAUGUGUUUUUAAAACAAAUAAUUAUUCACACCAUAUUUUAAUCUUUUAAGAACUUAAAAUGCAAACAAUGUUUGCUGACUUUACUAAGAGGUAAAAAUAAUCAAGUAAUUCUCAUGAAUACUGGCUGUAGUGUUUUCUGCUGUUCACUGCCAAAUGCAGCUCAAAUGAUAGAGUAACUUACCUGAGGUCUUAAGAAUAGCAUUGUAUGUUUAUUUUUUCUUUCCUCACAACUUUGGGUAGCAUGUUUCUAAUAUAUUUGAGAACACAGAGUCACACUAAAGCCAAAUUAUGUAAUAAGUCUAGCCAAGUUAUGACUAAAACGUCCAGAACAGAACAUAUGAACAACAUAUGACAGUCCUUUAAGAAAUGCUAUGCCUUUACAAUGUUGACAAUAUACUUUUAGUCUCACAAUCAAGGAUAUGGGAUACUAAUAAUAAACACCACAAACUCCUCCACUUUACCACAUCCCCCUAGUUUCACUGUAAUUCAACUCAUUACUAUUAUUUUUCACCUGAAUCUUCCUCCAGCUGUCUAACAUUUUUUUGUUGCUUUCUCUAAAAUGUAUGGUUAUACUUCUUACAGAAGCUAAAGUAACCUUCUUAAACAUAAACUAGUUCAUAUCAUCUUUUAACAUUCUCUAAUGUUUCUAUCCUUCAGGGGCAAAAAAAAAUCCUAUAGUACUUAUUCUACAUGUAGGAAGGCCUACAUUAUCUGUACCUCAGUUCACUUACUAGACAACAACUACAUCAAACUUGUGGUUCUAGUAUAUUCUACCCUUGUUUCCAAAGUAAGGCUCAUUGCUCUAGCUAUUCACCUCACCUGGGAUACUCACCAUCACCACCCCAAUACCAUAAGCUAUCCAAGCAUAAUGUCUUCUUUUAAUUCAUACCUUGUUUUAAAUGAAACACCUUCUUGGGCCUCUCUUGUUCACCCAUGCUAAAAUAGCACCCCUGUCAUCUGUGGAACUAUUCUUCAUAGUCUUUCCUACCAUCUGGUAAUUUUCAUGUUUGUCUAUUGUUUCCAUUGUCCAAAUAAAAGAAUAAAUAAAUGAAAGCAUUACUGCUUCUGUAGAUAUCUAGAGUUCUGGAUAAUUUUUUUUAGUUCAAUAAUAUUAUAAAGAACUUUGAAAUUCCAAAUGUCAACUGAACUUGGUCUAAUGCAUGCAUUAAUGAAAGAAUCCAAUAUGGAAAAAUCAUGCAAGCCAAAGUGAUCAUAAAGGAUGUGUCUGACACCAUGGCUAGCAAAAAGAAAAAUGAUUCCAAAUUGGUUUGUUCCUUGGGAUAAUUAGCUUUAAGUUCACAAAGACCUGUGAGAUACAAGAGAUCCACAUUGACCCGCAUUCAAUCUAUGUUUUCCAAUAGGAAUUAUUGUUGACCAAUGGUAUUUGAAACUUGUUAACAAAAAUGAUUUAACAAUUAUUAAGUAAGCAGACAGCACAGCAACAAUGAAGAGGAAAAUUUAUGAAAUUCAGAGAGAUCGUGUGAAUUUAAGUCACAGAGUAUCACAGUGGUCUCACUCUUCUUGUAAGCCAUCAGGACAGUUCCUCAAGAUGAGAGAACAUUAAGGAAGUAUCACAGUCCAUGUCCUUUAAAGCCACAUGUUUAGUAAUUUUUGAAAUAGCAAAUGUCUUAUUCAAGUACUCUCUGACAGUACACACUAUGAAAAGUGGUUUUGUCCACUAAUUGCUUUCAUGGUUUUCUCUAGCAUUUUCUUUUUCUGCUUAGUCACUCAUUUUGGAAAAAAAAAAAAAGACUAAAGGUCAGCCUUAGACAUAUGAGGAUCUUUUUAAGUAGUGAAUUUGUACAAAAAUUACAGAUCCAUUAGGCUAUUAUAUGCCAGUUCCCCAACAGAGAAAGCUUAAAAUUUUAUUUCUGAGCAGAUGCUCUCUGAGAUGGAAAUUGCCAGAGCCAAGUUCCUUUUAUGAAGAAGAAACAUAAUACACACAUUUUAACAUAUCCAUUUUUUUAGCUUUCCAUUUAGUGCUAUCCACACAAAAUCCUGGCUAGAAGUAUAGAAUUAUUGCAACAUGUAAAUAAAAUCUGCUUGCAAUUCACAGUUGUAGCAUCACAUGCCCAAUUUUGAAAAACUGGUAACAUGCUCAGUUGGUUGUUCUUGAAACUCAAUUACUGCAGGUUUCUGAAAAUACAAGUCUGACAGUUGAGAAUUCCUUAUGCCAAGGACAUAAAAUGCUAAAUAUAGAAGACAAUUUCAAAUUGCCUACUUGAAUAUUUUGCCAAACUAUGUAAAAAUAUGCAAUUGCAGAAAGCAUUGUUUUUCCUCUCAUCACUCCAUGAUGCAUAAAUGUCCAUCUUCAAGUUAAUUGAACUCACCUACAAGCUAAUUAAUUUUGAAUUCAAAUAUUUCUCAAAAGAUUUCAGAUUGGCAUAUGAGCACUGUGGAAUAAUUGCAUGUGUUCUCAAUGCAAAUUUUGGGACCAAUAAUCCUUAGAAAUAAGAAUAUCUUUGUUUUUCUUGUGAAUUAUUAUGACAAAAUGUCCUGCUGUUGGAAAAUAACCAAGUCCUUUGCUUUCUUCUUAUUUUCUAUUUUUCAUACAUUUCAAUUAGUAAAAUGAAUUUUUAUUUGAGCUUGUUUUGGAUAAGCCAGAAUAUAGAGAAAAGGCAAAAUAUGAAAACUCUGUGGUUAACUGCAUGAGG